CAGGCCACAGUCCAUGGGGUCGUAAAGAGUCAGACAUGACUGAGCACACACACACACACACACACGCAUGCACACACGCAGUAAGAGCAUGUGCAACUUUAUAAGAAGCUGCCAAACUGUUUUCCAAAGUGGAUGUUAUCAUUUUGUGUCCCCAGCAGCAAAGACUGAGAGUUCUGUUUGCUUCUGAAGAGGGUUUAAUGGAUGGGUAAAUGCUUUGCAAAGAGUGGGGUUACUACUCAGAUGCCAAGGUGGGAGAAUUUAGAAGAGGUUGUUCUAAACUCAACUCCUCUGGGCUCCCAGCCCAUCUGCUGUUUGCAGACAGAGUAUUUCCAAGAAGAAAUACUUUCAAGAGGGAAUACGUGAGCACCACUCUACUCAUUUUGCAAAUGAGGGUGUGGCACUGCCUCUCUUGGAUGAGCCAUCCAUGGUCUUGUAUUUUAUUCCUGGAUUCACAAAGUAAAUGAAGUAUGGGCAUUUGGAAUGUUGCUAUGCUAUGUGGCAAGAACUAGCCAGAGAAACAUAUCCAGAUGUACAAUCGGAAUGUCAGGGCUAGUGGGGACCUUAAAAGCUCUCACUUUGGACAUGAUGACCUAUCACACACCCAGAACCCCAGAAUUCCAGCCCAGGACUCUUUGUCUCCCAGAUUCAGGGCAGGGUCCCAGCAAUGGUAAACUGGGACGGGCUUAUGGGUCAUGGCAGCUGUGUGCCCAGGAACAGAAAUGAGGCUAAAUGCUAGGUACACUGUGGCCAGAGUGCCUGCAUUCCAGCUUGCAUCCCCCAAGCCUUCACUUCCUUUAUUUUAGUGCCCAGUUCUGAGGCACCUUCACAUUUCAAAUGUCCUGAGAAUAUGUUUAAUUAGAACUUGGCCAUACAGCCUUUUAAAAUAAAACAGAAGGGACCAGCUAAUUAUAUCGCUCAGCAUUCUGCGGCAAACAUAUAUUUUUUAAUAAAACACUUUCCUAACCAGAGGAAUCCCCUGAGAGGCAGAUCCUCAUUUAUAAGAAGUUUCCCAAAGGGACUUAAAGAUGCCUUAUAAAGAAAGGAGACAAAGAGAGUAAGGAAGUGUUUUCCAAGAGCUUUUAAAAGAUACGCUCAUUCUGAGGUUGAAGUCCAGAUAUUUUAAAGAUGUAAAUUUUUUGUUCAAGUGUCUUAUAAUAAUUUCCUUUUUUUAAUAUAAUUUAUAUAUUCCCUUUCCCCUUUUUGAUUAUUACUAUAAAUACCCAUAUUUCUUAUCCAGAUUCUUUUUUUAAUAAGUACAAUAUUUAAAUAAACAAGUGAUUUUCUCACAAUGCACUCCAUUUCGCACUGGUUCCCACCCCCUCCUCCAGCUCUGCGGCUAUGCACCCACGCCCUUCUCAAUUCAUUUUGUUAUAGCCCCAUUUAAAAAGAAGCAAAAUAAAUAGGUGCGCUUCAUUCAAUUAGAUAUUUUAUUUAACUAAUCAUAGCCCCCAAAGUAUCAUUUCAACAUGUAAUCAAUAUAAAAUGAUUAGUAAUAGAUUUUUGUAUUCUUUUUUCAUGUAAACCUUUGAAAGCUGGUGUAUGUAUUGUAUUUACAACACAUCUCAGUUCAGAUCAGCCACGUUUCAAGUGCUCAGUGGCCACCCAAGUAGCUAAUAGCUACUGGAUGGGGCAGUGCAGGUCCAGACAAGGAGUCUUCCAGAGAAACUUGCUGUCCUUGGCAUCUUAACUUAGUCCCCAAAUCCAGCGACCAUAUGCCUCCCUCAUACCCCUUACUGGCCUUUUGUGUUGGCAGUGGGUCAGGUGGUUACAUGUAAUAUGACUACCUUACCUGGGCAUUUUUACCUCUUUCCUGCCUUGCUAAUGAUACACCACAGUAUCUCCCCAGCCCGGUUUGUUUUGGACUCAUUCAUUCAGAAACAUUUAUUGAGCACUUCCCAGAUGUUAAGCCUUGUGCCCAGCCCUGGAAAUACAGGUGAGCAGACAGACUUUUCUUGCGAAUUAAUUACAGAACUUUUCAGUGUUCUUAGGGUCUAGUGGGGAGACAGACUUUACUCAAAUAGUUAUGGAAGUCUGUAAUUUCAAACUGUGAUAAGGGCUGUGAAGGAAAUGUACAUUAAAAAAAAAAAAUGCUAACCCUUGGGUCACUGCUUGUGUGGCUUGUCCCUCAGGGUGUUUAGUAGAAGUUGUCCAGCCCCCAGCCAGGUUGUCUUGCUGAACAUUGAUAUGACAGAGGAGAGGCAGAUGAGACAAUCUCAAGAUCUCCCUGGUCCCGAGCAUCUGUAAGGAAAUUUCCAGGACCAAUAGUCACUCACCAGUUCUUAAGCCAGUGACCCAAUUCAUCCAUUUGUGUUUGUGUAGGUUGCUCAGUUGUGUCUGACUCUUUUGUGACCCUAUGGACUGUAGCCCGCCAGGCUCCUCUGUCCAUGGAAUUCUCCAGGCAAGAAUACUGGAGUGGGUUGCCAUUCUCUUCUUCAGGGCAUCUUCCCAACCUGCGAUUGAACCCAGGUCUCCCGCAUUUAGGCAGAUUCUUUACUAUCUGAGCCACCAGAGAAACCCUAUUAUGAGGCUGCUAGAACACCAGUCGUAAAGAGGAAGCAGAACACAACUCAUUCAUUCAUUCAAGCAUCAAUUCUUACCGAGUAAUCUGUGGGAUGUGAGGCCCCACUCUGGACAUUCAGGGAAGCAAGGCCAGCAUUCUCUUUGGCCAGACUACACUGCCAGCUGGGCACACUUUCCUAGAGAAGAUAACACUUUAAAGAAGAGGAAAAAUCAAUGCUGAUAGAACUCCUUCUCUGGUUCCUAAAAUGAUAUUGUCCCCCGUGGCUGGUGAUUUGAGCCUGGGACCGAGCUGGGCAGCCUGAGCCCUGCAUGGAUGCAAUCUUGCGAGCGCCUCAAACCUGGCCGGAUCAAUAAACAAGAGGCAUCGCUGAAGCCAGCUGGGUGGAGGGGGGCUGGGUUCAAGGGGCAAAGUCUACCAUUCCUCUUCUACUUCCUGAAAGAGGACAGGGACCCUCCCUUCAGUCCAAAGUCCCCAGGGACAGGGUAAUUUCAGCUGCACUUGAUGUAACCUAUACAUCACUGUCUUCUCGACCAGUUCUCAAAUUAAACUCUGAUGUAUAAAGUUAAACAAAAAUGAGAUAAAAAUUGGCAGAGGUUGAAGAGGGUCAAAGUAGUCAAAACGCAAGGUAGACCAUUGCUCCUUUUGAUUUAUGUUGUUCUGUACACUUAGAAAAAAGAAAAUUGUAAAUCUCCCUGAGACUUUUUUUUCAAUGAGAGUGAGGCAUUACUAAUUUAUUUUCAAUAGAGUCCCAGGUUUCUCAACUGGGAGGAGCGCUGGGGCUAUUGUUUCUGGUGAAGACGUCAUGGUUUGACCUCAGAAGGGGCUUGUGAUGACAGGAAAGCACCCUGCAGAAUUAGAAUUCUCAGGCAGCAGGCUUAACCAGGAUCCAGCAGCAUCGCUGAUGCCGCAGACCUCAGGGUCUGCUCUGCCUUCUCAUUUAAUCUCCACAAUCCCGGAUGAGGUGAAGCACACAGAAUUUAUCGUUCCCCUUUGAUAGCUGAGGAAACUGAGGCUUAAGGAAACUGCAUGUCUUUGAUAAAAUACCAGCAUGCCUAAGGCGCCACAGCACAGAAGUGGAGAGGACAAAGGCCCACUCUUACAGACCUCAGCUUCCAGGGAAAGAGAAAAUAGCCAAAUGAAAUGAAUAAAAAUAAAUAUGAUUACAGGUAGAAUGAAUGGCUGUGAAGAAUAUGGAGCAGGAGAAGAGAAUAGAGGUGGGGAUAUGGAAGCCAAUGGAAGGUGUAAACCAUCACUUUGAUAAUUUUGUAAGAUCACAAGGGCAGCUGUGUGGAUGAUGAAGUUAGGUGGGCAAAGGUGAGGUCAGGGGGUCAGUGAGUAGACAGGGACCCUGGUCCCAGCAGGACACAGUGGUCACUUGGCCCAUAGUACUGGCUACGGUGGGGGUGAAGAUCUAUUUUGAAGGUAGGGCAUCUGAAAAGGAGUCUUUCUUCACUGCACAGCCUGCAGUCACGUUGCAACACUGAGGUACCUGAAUCCCAAGCCAACUGCUUCUCGGGGGGAAUGAAAAAGGGGAAAGAUGGGGCUGAGAUAGCAAUAGUGGAAAGCAGGCAUUCUGGAGAGGGGUACCUGGUCCAGGCACAUUUGUGCAUGCACAUGUGUGUUUAUGAGUGUGUGUGUUGUGACACACACUUUCAGCCCUGUUUUUUCUAAUUAAUUGUGAAAAUUAACUUCCAGCGCAUUUACCUGUGUUCUUUCCUUAAGCCCUUAGUUUGUCUCUUGUCGCUGCCGCUCCACUGAAACCACUCUGUUCAAGGGCAUCCUCACCUUCCACAUUGCCCAGGUCAUGACCAAAGACCCAAGUUUCCUCACACAGUGGCAGCUCAAGGGGUUCCUGAGGCCCAUCUGCCUGGCACAUGGCAUGGAUUUCUGCACAGAGGUCACCUCUGUGGGAAGAGCCUAGGACGAGGUUUCUGUGGAUGUCAAGACCAGCCUUCAGCAACCGCAGCUGCUGCAGGGCCCACAACCUGAGCGGCUUCACAGGUUGAUGUGGUCAUCUCAGUUUCCUCAGAUGGAACGUGAGCAGAAGGGAUGUGUUCUAGCGCCAGGCCUAACCCACAAAAAGCCCCUGGGAACACUCCUCCAUUCUUGGCAGCUUCCGUCACCUGGACACAGAUGACGAUGAGGAGCCAGGGAAAAGUGAAGCCACAAACUAGAGGAAGCCUGGGUCCCUGAGUAACACUUCAAAGACUGCCACUUGAGCAGGAAAUAAACAUCAACUGUGUAGAAA